rnacentral:rRNA from 1 species
UACGUAGGGUGCAAGCGUUGUCCGGAAUUAUUGGGCGUAAAGAGCUCGUAGGCGGUCUGUCGCGUCGGAUGUGAAAACCCAGGGCUCAACCCUGGGCCUGCAUUCGAUACGGGCAGACUAGAGUUCGGUAGGGGAGACUGGAAUUCCUGGUGUAGCGGUGAAAUGCGCAGAUAUCAGGAGGAACACCGGUGGCGAAGGCGGCAUCCUGGACCGACAUUGACGCUGAACGGCGAAAGCUAGGGGAGCAAACGGG